CUGCAGUUGAAAAAGCAGGAAAAAAAGGCUUUUUCAACUUCUGUGCACUUGCACACAGCGCUGCUCAGCUGUCCGGGCAGCUCAGCAGGUUGUAAAUUGCACUCAUGUGACUCGCGCAUGCGCACACGACACUAAUAGACAGAACCGGUAGUUAUACCAGUCAGAUCCCAUCCCUAAUCAUAAUCCUUUGCUU